AAACUUACCUGGCUGGGGGGCUCUCGCGAUCAUGAAGGCGGGACCCCCAUGGUGAGGCCCGCACAUUGCACUUUAGUGUGGGCUGACCCGUGUGGCAGCUUCGAAUUGAAGUUAGCCAACAGCUAAAUUUUUGCGUGAGGGGCUGCGUUCGCGCGGCCCUGA
rfam:Nippostrongylus brasiliensis genome assembly, scaffold: NBR_scaffold0000921